rnacentral:rRNA from 1 species
GUAGCAAUACAGGAGUGGCGCACGGGUGAGUAACGCGUGGGAACCUGCCCUGGAGUGGGGGAUAACCGAGGGAAACCUCGGCUAAUACCGCAUACGUCCUGAGGGAGAAAGAUUUAUCGCUCUAGGAGGGGCCCGCGUCGGAUUAGCUAGUUGGUGGGGUAAUGGCCUACCAAGGCAACGAUCCGUAGCUGGUCUGAGAGGAUGAUCAGCCACACUGGGACUGAGACACGGCCCAGACUCCUACGGGAGGCAGCAGUGGGGAAUAUUGGACAAUGGGGGCAACCCUGAUCCAGCAAUGCCGCGUGAGUGAUGAAGGCCUUAGGG